GCCAAGCGGUGCUGAUUAGGGGUUGUUCUUACUCUCCCUUGCAAUUAUUUUGUACUUGUAGGGGUGCAUGUAGGCACGGUCCUUGUGAUGCGGUACGUGAUGGUGUGUGAGUGGUAUUUGGUUUGUGUGGUUGGCGGGCUCUUUGCUUGUGCAUUGGACCGUUCACCAACAUACCUUUUCAUUGUAUGCUGCAAGUGCACCAUUUUGCCUUGGGCGACGUGUGGUCCCUAUGUUGGAUUCCGAUUAACGGUAUUGUUGUUGUCCCUUUAAAGAGUGAUAUUCGCUCUACGUCCGUAAAAGGAGGUCGAGCGGACCAUGAAACUUGACUCGUUAUCCUCCUGUUUUGUGAAAACAAGCAUGAUAGGGUUGGAUUAUGAUCUCAAGUUGGGCCCUAGGAUACAGAAAGUUGUGUGGGAGUUGAUGUAAAAACGUCGCAAACCCAAAGCGUUGGUACGCUAAUGAUGGAUGACAUUCGAGUGUGUUGUGAUUCUUUCAUUCUAGAAAGGUUCAUGCUCGCCGAUGUCGACCAAGGAGUGCUACCUGGUUGAUCCUGCCAGUAGUCAUAUGCUUGUCUCAAAGAUUAAGCCAUGCAUGUGUAAGUAURAACUAAUUCA
rnacentral:misc_RNA from 1 species